rnacentral:rRNA from 1 species
UGAGCAAUCUGCCCUUCUCUUUGGAAUAAGCGUUGGAAACGACGUCUAAUGCCGAAUACGACCUCCUUUCGCAUGAUCGGAGGUGGAAAGCUCCGGCGGAGAAGGAUGAGCUCGCGGCCUAUCAGCUAGUUGGUGUGGGUAAUGGCCCAUCAAGGCGACGACGGGUAGCCGGCCUGAGAGGGUGACCGGCCACACUGGGACUGAGACACGGCCCAGACUCCGUACGGGAGCAG